GAUGAACGCUGACAGAAUGCUUAACACAUGCAAGUCAACCUGAAUUUGGGUUUUUAACUUAGGUUUGGGUGGCGGACGGGUGAGUAACGCGUAAAGAACUUGCCUCACAGCUAGGGACAACAUUUGGAAACGAAUGCUAAUACCUAAUAUUAUGAUAAUAGGGCAUCCUAUAAUUAUGAAAGCUAUAAGCGCUGUGAGAGAGCUUUGCGUCCCAUUAGCUAGUUGGAGAGGUAACGGCUCACCAAGGCGAUGAUGGGUAGCCGGCCUGAGAGGGUGAUCGGCCACAAGGGGACUGAGACACGGCCCUUACUCCUACGGGAGGCAGCAGUGGGGAAUAUUGGACAAUGGACCGAGAGUCUGAUCCAGCAAUUCUGUGUGCACGAUGAAGUUUUUCGGAAUGUAAAGUGCUUUCAGUUGGGAAGAAACAAAUGACGGUACCAACAGAAGAAGUGACGGCUAAAUACGUG
rnacentral:rRNA from 1 species